rnacentral:lncRNA from 1 species
UGAGGUGUAGCAAAAAGGAACUAUUUAAGCCCAGCCUUGUCUUAGAAACAUUCCAGCAACCCACAGUGGUGAACUAAAGAGCUGAGGUUGUUUUGUUGUUAACAGUUAGUUAGUCUUGGUUAGCUUGGUUAGUUUGUAUAAUAGACAAAGAACACGUUAGAUAAACUUGCAGAAGAUAAGGUGCAGCAGAUAACCUAGGGUGGCUUGGUAGAAGUUAAAAUGAACUAGACUAGUAUUGAUUGCUCCCAGUUUGGUAGGGAGGCUGGUAGGGGCUGGCAAGGGGCAAAGCUUGGCAUUGACCAGAGAAAGAAAAGUUCAGCUAUUUAAAUUCAUGUCCCACCCCUUAACUGACUUCCCAAGGCUUUAACACCGUAAGAAAGAAAAAGAGAGCCGAUUGAUAGUGAGGUAAGAAGAACUCGGCUAGAGCAGGAAAAAGAAGUGAACAACAAUCAAGUGCAACCUCUAAGCUACUAAGGUAAUCUUUUCCAUCUUCUUUCUAUUCCAUUUCGUGCCAUUGGUGCUCUGUUUUGGCCGAAUGGCCUUGAAUAGACAUAAGGGGCAGUUGUGCUAAUUUUUAUGCUAUGUGUACUGUUGUGAUUUGGAACUGUAAUGUAUCACAUUAUGUUUGUUAUUAUUUAAGUCAUAAGGCUGGGAUCACUAAGCUAAGAAUAAAUGUAUUGUAUGGGUAGAUAUGAACUGCACCCCAAUUGUUUGGUGAAAUGUCAGUUAAUACAUGGUUGGAGUCAACAAUUUUGGAAAAAGAGUGCAGUCAAGUCUAGUUCUAUGCUAAUAAUAUAUAUUGAAUUCCUAAAGAUGCAAAGAUGCUAAGAUAGCAGUUUUGCAUGAACAUAAGAUGUUUAUAACUGAUUGUAUACCAGUCCAUAUAUGAUCUAAGCAUUUAACUAUGACUAAGCCAUUGUUUUAAGGAUUUUGCAUGCCAGACUAAAGGUUGAGAAUGACUGAUUUGGUAUAAGCUAUUCUAUGUCAUCCAAACAUAUACUAUGCAUAAAAAAGAGAUAAUAUAAGCUUCUAUGUUGCACACUUAUGCUACCUUUGUAAGCAUGUUGGUGAACCAUGUUUGUUUUGAAGUUAAAUACCAAAGAAGGCUGUGUUGGCCUAAAACAUAAAGACCAUGACUUAGAUGCUUUAAAACAUGAAAAGUUGGUAGAUAGAAGGUACAUGUGUGAGCAAGGCAUAUAUAUUAGUGCUUGCUACCAUUUGGUGUAAAAGCCUUGCCGAAAAUGCUUGUCUAAAACUGUUAGAAUGGCAAAAACAGUAUGGCUGGGAAGGAAGUACAAAAUGGUGGUUAAACUCUAACAUAAAAUGUAACUAUGCUUCAAGUACACUCUAUGCAUAUGUAUAACAUGUAUUUGUGUAACACUUGAGCAAAACAAAGUGAAAAAGGGACUGCUAUAUGAUUUUCUUGAGUUGAUAUGUAAACUGUUAUAGAUCUAGCUAAAUGACAUGCUAUGUUGCUACCAUGACUGACUAUUAACAUGAUAGGUGUUGAUAUAUUAAGUUAUUGUGUUAAAAAUUCACUACUAUGAUAUGGCUAUGCUAAGAUGAACUAAACUUAGACAUAAGGAGAUAGGUGGGCUGUGGAGUAAUAAGGAGGUCAUAUUGGAUUGUUAAUAUAAACAAAUGGCAGAUAAUUUGCUAACAUAAAACUAUGUACACAACCUGCUUGAUAAAAGUCCCAAAUGGACUCUAUAUUACAUGUAUUGAGGAUUAAAAUGAUUUAGCAUGAUAAUUGCAAGCAAGAGCAUUUGGACUAAAAUAGUGGUUGAAAGUUUUGUUAUUAAAGCAACUUUAGGUACUGUUUUAGGUAUCAUGAUGGAGAUUUUAUAGAUACUUCAAUAAGUCAUGUGUAACAUAUCUAAAAAAAUGGUUGUAAACAAACAUGUGAAUUAAAAGUAAGAAGUUGGAGAACUAGGUGAUUUGGUCACAAAGCUGCUGCCAGUAGCAGCAGCAGUUGGUGUAGGGCCAGAGCUCUUUUCGAGCUCUCAGUUGGCAAGCUAGUAAAUUAAAUGUCAUCUUGAAUUGGCAAAUUCUUUGGGUUUGUAUAGAUUAUGAUAUCUUGUAAGCUAGCCUAGCAAAGGAAAUCUUGGUAAAGCACAAAACAAAUUCUAAACAAAACCAACUGUUAAAAAGUUAGCAUGUUCAACCCCUUUGCACACUGAUUUGAGUCAGACUAUGAAGAACUCAUAAGAAAUUAAUACUUCAUAUGUCAAAGCCAAAAGUGGCUGUCAACAUGAUGAAAGAUAGGGGACUAUUGGAGUACUAAAACAAACUGCUAGACACAGUUAGCCCUUAAUUACACUAUAGUAUAGUGAAGUUUUGAACCUUAGCACAUGAUAGUUUUGGCUAAAUUUGGUAGUAAGAAUCCUAGCUUAAUCAUUCCCUUGGUCCACUGUGUUGAGUAAUGGCUGAACCAGAGAGUCAAGUUUAAUAUCAUUUGAGAAGCCAAGGACUGCUAUAAUAAGGUAGCAAUGAGUAGUAAAUAUAGCAGUAGUACCAACCUUAAUCAAAUAGCAGCUGUCAUUGGCAACAGAAAUCAAGUAAUUGCAGUGCCAUAUUGACAACUAAGUAACCUUGCUGGCUUUCAUUUUUAUUGUGCUUUGAGUAAGUUAAGAAGUAGCAAGGUUUGAAGAUUAUCAUAUUGAGUUGUCAUUCAAGUAUAGUAACUGUUACCAAUAAACAAUAAGCAGUUGGUCUUCUCUUAACAGACCAAUAUGGUAAAACUACAAGAUUCCAGCUGUGAAUUAACUUGGGACAUAAUCAAAGGGGAGUCAUGGAGCUGCUAGGACAGUUUGGAAGCUAUAAUCUAAACAAGGCCAAAAGGAAGGGGGGCUACUACCUAUGAACAACAACAGUUGAUGGCAGGUUACUGCUAAUAUACUCUAUGUAACCACUUUGGUUGAGAAUUGAAAUCUUCAAGAAACUAAUCAUCAUGUGUAACUUGAGUAUGUGUGCUGAAAACAUAUAUACUACAUUUACAAGUUGAGAAUAAAAAUGUGAUAAAGAGGGAAGCAUAGGGCUGCUAACAGUUAGUUGCAAUAGGUAACCUCAACUAACUGCUAAUGCAGUGUUGAGCUUAUUAGACCUAGUUGAAGCUACAAGAGGGUGAACUUAUAUGAAUUAGAUAUAAUUCAAGUGUUGGAAUGAACUGAAGUGGCUAGAAAUAGUAAAUGUAAUUUGAUUUUUAAUACUUGUGGUAGGCAUGUUGAACCCCAUCAAAGUGAAAAAUGACUAGUGUGAAAGUAUGGAUGAGAUAUUUAAAAAAUGUAUCAAAUAUAGGAAAUCUAACCAUGAUCACUAAAAUUACAUGAUAUAUGAUUUGACUAUGUGGCUAACAUGCUUUAUUAAUGCAAAUAAUAAUAAUUUAAUUCCUAUUAUUUGAUUGUAAGUAUGUCUAACCCAUUAAAGAGAAGAUUGACUAAUACGUAAACAUGGAUGAGAUAUUUGAAAAUUGUAUGAAAUUAAGGAAUCUAACUACAAACUUGACCACUGAAUUAUGUGAUGUGUGAAUCUCCACAAACUAUGUGACUUGGCUAUUUGGCUAAUAGGCUUGUAAAUGCAAAUAAAUUGUGUAGGCUCUGUGAGAACAUAUUAAGCUAAAUCCUAUCAAUAGUCUACAAACAAGGCAAGUUUCUAACUCUUACUCUUUAUUGAGAAAUUAUUCUGCAGUGGACAUGUUCUUUAAUUUCUGAACUUUCUGUCCUUAUUUAUGAAUAAUAUAAGGUUAAAUAGCCUUUUUAUUCCAAUCAGCUUCAAAAAAAUAGAAUACCAACUUUUCUAUCUUGAAUGAGUUUACAUUGAAAGUAUGUCAAUACCAUUACUUCGGUUAGACAAUCGUUGAGAUAUAUUGAUAUUAUUCAUGAAGUUAUCAGUUAAUGCUUUCCAAACCAUUUUGUUGUAUGGAUUCUUAUAUAAUGCUGUGAACGAACAACCCUUUUAUAGUGGAAUAUUGUACCGGACAUAUGAUUCCGAAGGACAUGUAAAGUGUCAUUAGACUCUUAUGUUGUGCACAAUAUAGGGUACUUAGGCGGAUCCCCUAAAGUACGACUCUAUGAAAUAAAACAAAUUUUAUAAAUUGUAUAUAUCCAUGGAGUUUAGUAUUAUUACUAUCAAUUCUAGUAAAGAGUUCACUGGUCAUUUGACCUUACAGCAUGCUAAAGUCUAAUUUUUCAGACUCAACACUUUUAAAGAAUUAUCUUGUUCAGUAUUUAUUAUUGAAUCCUCAUUGAUAUAAUAUUUCUGUUCCAUUAUAUUUAGCUGCUUAUUUCCUUGCUGAGCAAGCUUGUUGCUCACCCUUGCGUUAAAUAUAAUGUUUUCAGUUAUGAAUGAAGUUGUUGGUCCAUUGGUAAAGACAAAGGAAAAGGCAAAGUUGUGGAAUAGUCUUUUAUUAAGCGCAUGUGCUUAUUUAAGUAGUAAAUGUAUUAAAUAUUGUUAGUACUAUGUUGUGUAAUGAUAUUUGAUUCGUAAGUUAUGUAAAGGUCUAUAGAACCUGGGAUAUAAGUUAUGUAAUAUAAGACAGCUUUCUUUUAAUAUGAAUGGGUAUAUUAGUAUCGUGAGAACCAAACUCGAGUUAAAGAUAACCCGAAUUUGGGGGCGUCACAGGUUGGUAUCAAAGUUGUAGGUUAUAAACCUUAGGUAGGUGUACCUUAGGCUAUAACCGCAGAGAUGAUGAUAAGGAAUAAACUCAAAUAGAGUUUAAUUUGUUACUCAAAUAGAGUUUAAUUUGUUAAGAGAUGGAUUUGGAAAAUUCAUUAUUAAGUAAAUAAGAUUCAAAGAAUAAUCUGGAAAAGUUAUAAAGAUCCAGAGUUACCUAACUCUGAUGUUAAAGACAAAGAGUAAUAAUGAAUAGAUAGAGUCUAUAAGACUAAAAGUAUAAAGGGAAAGGAGAUCGUAAAACAAAACGAUCAUAAGAUAGAAGAGAAUUGUAAUAUAACAUGAUUAUAAGAUAAGAUCACGACGUGGUCAGAUUGAAUACCAGAAAAUCUAUGAAAUGAUUGGAAAGAUAUAGCUUGACGCUAUAAAGAAAAUGUACUAUGAAAUGGUACUAUGAAAACUUAGAAAAGAGUUGUAGAUGAUGAGAUACAGAUUAAAUAAAAUUCGUAUCGAGUAAGGGGAAGCUAGCAUUGGGUGGGAUUUCAAUUGAGAACUCAUAUCAGCAGCUAAGUUGUAUGAUUCUUUGUAUGGGUGGGGAAUUUUACUUGGUGUAACAACCACUUAGCUUCUGGUAGUGAUAAUCAUUGAAAUGUUUGUGUCGCGUUAUUCGCUAUAUACCUGUUGAGAAGGUGAUUCUUUUCUAAUGUGUAUAACGGAUAGAUAGAGAAUAUAAGAUUAGGUUAGAUGAUAUUAAGAUUAGGUACGGUUCUUAAAACUAAUGCAUAUAGUAAGUUCGUGACUCAUAAUCAUAUAGUAUGUUUUGAACCCCUCAGUGAAUGGACGCCUAUGGUCUGACUAGGAUAAGUUUCUAAACUCAUAUGAUUAUGGCAAGUUCCUGGAUUUCCAAAGUGUGGUAAGUUUAAUGAACUGGGGUAUAACUAAGUGUGAAUGGAGUAUUGAGGAUGAUAAGAAUAGAUGGACUUAUUAAGCAAUGGAUCAUUAGAGAAAUUGAAGUUGAUGAUGGAAGCAUAUGUAUUCCAAAUCUUCUAGCUAUGCUAGACUUCAAAAUUUUUGACAUCAAGCUAAAUUCGCACUAUGUGCCUUUUUAAAAAUAAUUUUUUAUUCUCAACGCAUGGUGACAAAUGUGUAUGUGUGGACUUCGGGACACUGAUACAUCGUUACCUGUUGAGAUAUGAUAGCACUAAAACUGAUUUUCAAAGAAUUUUGAAGUGUUUAAAGAAUAGUCUAUGCUAAUUACUUCGGCUAGACAAAAAUGAUUUGAAAUAUAUCAAAAUGUAUUUUAGAUAUCAUCAAUGCAUCAUGGAACCUGGUGCAGAGAUGAUAAAAAUGAUGGAGUCAUCAAUGCAGUAUUACUUAGUGUUGGAUGUGAUCUAAGGAUCGUCAGCCCACUAUGGUAUGAUGUAGUAUGAUAAAAUCGCCAAAUGACGAAAUCCUCAAACAUAUUGUAAAUACAGUGCGGUAUCAUAACGUCAUAAAAUGAUUUUCAGAAUUUUAAACGAGUUAAAGAAAAGUCAUUGCCAAUUAUAAUGGCUAGACAAAUGUUUCGAUUGAUGUUCGAAUUAUUGAUAUGCGUCUAAGCUUAUUGAUUCAGCUAGACAAAUGUUUAUGAAAAUUCAAAUAUUUCUUCUAGAAUUUAUCCCGAACCAAAUUGUUUUGGUACGGAAUCUUGUGCUAAGUCUGAGGUGAAAAACCCCGAUUGGAUAGAAUAAUCCAAUCUAGUAGCGCAAAUAGUCGCUAAACAAGGAAUGAUACGUUGUGCACGACGUAGGGUACGAUAGGCUGAUCACCUAACGUACUCGUAUCUGUACUAGGCUGAUCACCUAGUACAAUAUGUUUACAGAAUUGGUUGCGGUGAAUACCGUUAAAACUGAGAGUUCAUGGUCUAUAUGACCCCUGAACAUAAUAUGUAAAGUUUUUAACUUCCUAACAGAGGGUAGAAAUGGUUGAAUGAGAUGAUAGAAGACAAAUCUUCAGAGGUGGAAAAUAUAAAUGUUAAAUUGAAAACCUAUUUUCGGUGAAUAGGAGAAGCAAAGAUUAGUAUACUGUAAUUUCGGGGACGAAAUUCUUAGAAGAAGGGGUGAUUGUGACAACCCGAAAAUUUAGAAGAUCUUGAAUGAUUAAAUUAAAGGUUAAAGUUUAAAACCUAGAGUGAAAAUAGAUGAUUUAAAAUUUUUAAGAAAAAUCUAAGAAAAUGGUAUGCUGAAAUAAUUCAACGAUAAGGUUACGAGAAAAGAUGUAAACCGAUUAAGAAUGAUUCGAUAUUGUGACUUCGGGGACGGAAAAGAAUGUGAUAACCCAAAUUUUGGGUAAUAAAUAAAAUUCUUAUUAGAUAAUAUGUUGUAUGAUAUUAUAACACAUAUGUGGGUAUGACCUAUGCAAUAUGUGAUGUUUAUGCUUAAUAAAUAUAUUGGUAUUAUAUAUUUAUUAUAUGUAAAUAAAUUGUAGUGGUAAUUUAAUCAAGAAAAUGAGAUGGGUAUAAUUAAAAUAAUUUAUAAUAUUAAAUUAUUUUAAUGUGGUGAAUUGGUGAUAUUAAAUAUAUACUUAAUGUAUGACCACCCUUUUAUUAGGAGGGGCUAUUGCUUAUUUUGUAUAUGAUGUAAGCCCACCUUAAAUCUAAUCCUUGCCUUGUUACUAAGCCUAUCGCGCAGCCCAUAUGAUGUGUAGCAAAAAGGAACUGUUUAAGCCCAGCCUUGUCUUAGAAACAUUCCAGCAACCCAUAGUGGUGAACUAAAGAGCUGAGGUUGUUUUGUUGUUAACAGUUAGUUAGUCUUGGUUAGCUUGGUUAGUUUGUAUAACAGACAAAGAACACGUUAGAUAAACUUGCAGAAGAUUAGGUGUAGCAGACAACCUAGGGUGGCUGGGUAGAAGUUAAAAUGAACUAGACUAGUAUUGAUUGCUCCCAGCUUGGUAGGGAGGCUGCUGGUAGGGGCCAGCUAGGGGCAAAGCUUAGCAUGACCAGAGAAAGAAAAGUUCAGCUAUUUAACUUCAUGUCCGACCCCUUAACUGACUUCCCAAGGCUUUAACACCGUAAGAAAGAAAAAGAGAGCCGAUUGAUAGUGAGGUAAGAAGAACUCGGCUAGAGCAGGAAAAAGAAGUGAACAGCAAUCAAGUGCAACCUCUAAGCUACUAAGGUAAUCUUU